CGGGGCGUGGCGCAGUUUGGUAGCGCACCUGGUUUGGGACCAGGGGGUCGCAGGUUCGAAUCCUGCUGCCCCGACCA
rnacentral:tRNA from 1 species